rnacentral:tRNA from 1 species
ACCUGGCUGGCUCAGUCAGUAGAGUGCACGACUCUUACUCCUGGGGUCAUGAGUUCGAGCCAUAUGUUGGGUG